rnacentral:lncRNA from 1 species
AUUUGCCCGGAAGCCCAGCCCAGCCAUUCAGAGCUGACUGCCGCUUACACGUCCUCUGCGUUGCCAGUGUCUCAAGAGUCCCCGGCUGUCCUUGAACUCCCGCGGCACCAAGAGAGAUCAUGAACUCCUGAUCCUAUUUAUCCACACACACACUCCACCCCCACCCACCCGCACACCCCGGUGCUAGGAUUGCUGGCUUGAGCCACCAUAUCUAUCUCCUCCAAUGUUGGGCGUGGAACCCGAGGGCUUCUUGUGCGCUCCGCAGGCACUCGGCUAGCCAAGCUGCCUCCCAGCUGCACACCGUUGUUUUAGGGACAUCUCCAGGGACACUUCCUUCCAUUGUGGAUGAAAUCCAGAAGGCCAGCGUUCCAAUUCUGUCUACUUCACAGCCACCUUGCUUUUCCAUUCCCG